GAGUUUGAUCCUGGCUCAGAUUGAACGCUGGCGGCAGGCCUAACACAUGCAAGCCGGGCGGUAGAGAGAAGCUUGCUUCUCUUGAGAGCGGCGGACGGGUGAGUAAUGCCUAGGAAUCUGCCUGGUAGUGGGGGAUAACGCUCGGAAACGGACGCUAAUACCGCAUACGUCCUACGGGAGAAAGCAGGGGACCUUCGGGCCUUGCGCUAUCAGAUGAGCCUAGGUCGGAUUAGCUAGUUGGUGAGGUAAUGGCUCACCAAGGCGACGAUCCGUAACUGGUCUGAGAGGAUGAUCAGUCACACUGGAACUGAGACACGGUCCAGACUCCUACGGGAGGCAGCAGUGGGGAAUAUUGGACAAUGGGCGAAAGCCGGAUCCAGCCAUGCCGCGUGUGUGAAGAAGGUCUUCGGAUUGUAAAGCACUUUAAGUUGGGAGGAAGGGCAGUAAAUUAAUACUUUGCUGUUUGACGUUACCGACAGAAUAAGCACGGCUAACUCUGUGCCAGCCGCCGC
rnacentral:rRNA from 1 species